CCUACGGGUGGCAGCAGUGAGGAAUAUUGGUCAAUGGGCGCGAGACUGAACCAGCCAAGCCGCGUGAGGGAUGAAGGUACAGAGUAUCGUAAACCUCUUUUGUCGGGGAACAAAAGCGGGCACGUGUCGCCGUACGAGUGUACCUGAAGAAAAAGCAUCGGCUAACUCCGUGCCAGCAGCCGCGGUAAUACGGAGGAUGCGAGCGUUAUCCGGAUUUAUUGGGUUUAAAGGGUGCGCAGGCGGACGAUCAAGUCAGCGGUAAAAGCCCGGGGCUCAACCCCGGCGAGCCGUUGAAACUGGCAGUCUCGAGUUGGAGAGAAGUAUGCGGAAUGCGCGGUGUAGCGGUGAAAUGCAUAGAUAUCGCGCAGAACUCCGAUUGCGAAGGCAGCAUGCCGGCGCCACACUGACGCUGAGGCACGAAAGUGUGGGUAUCGAACAGGAUUAGAGACCCCAGUAGUC
rnacentral:rRNA from 1 species